UACGUAGGGUGCAAGCGUUGUCCGGAAUUAUUGGGCGUAAAGAGCUCGGUAGGCGGUGUGUCGCGUCUGCUGUGAAAACUCAGGGCUCAACUCUGAGCUUGCAGUGGGUACGGGCACACUAGAGUGCUGUAGGGGAGACUGGAAUUCUCGGUGUAGCGGUGAAAUGCGUAGAUAUCGAGAGGAACACCUGCGGCGAAGGCGGGUUGCUGGGCUGACACUGACGCUGAAACGCGAAAGCUAGGGGAGCGAACGGGG
rnacentral:rRNA from 1 species